GCAGGUCAUGAAUAAAUCGUCAAACCUCAACAUCGGUCAUAUGAUAGAUUCAAUCUGCUUAAGUCCAUAUGUAAUUCUAUGAAAAUUCUUUUCCAUCAAUCAAAUUGCUAUGGUCAUAAACUUAAGGACUCAGCUUCUUAAAUUUUAUAGGACUAUUUCCUUCUGUUAGGAUCGAUAGAUCCCAUUUUGAUGCACACCCCACUCCUACAGUAGAUCAACUGUCGUCAACAUCCACUACAAGGGCUCCUCGAGAUCCAUGUUGAUAUGUCAGUCAAACUCCAGUAGCUUCACUGCGAGCAGUAGUGUCAUCUCAGGUUAAAAGAUCAGUCAUAUAACUGCAGCAUCGAGAAGGUCAUUAUCGAGUGAGCAGACAUCCAUGUGACUUCUCGUGUUGGUCACGCUCAGUGCUAGUUCUCUAACAACCAUCUGCACUCUCGCUUCAGUGUCUCUACAAUGCAGACUCGAGAUCCAUCUGUCCGAAGAAAGCAAUCCGUGCACUGGUCUAUUUGGAUUAAUCAUCAUUCCCAUAAUGAUCCUAUGAUUAGAAGUAAUUUAGAAAUCAAUCAUCAGUGACAUAUGCUUCAAAUUCUUAACUUUUUGAGAAUAUGUAUCAUCAUCUUGUUAAUCCCUUGGAUGAUUCAUAGACACAUAGACAUGAAUGGUAAUAUAACUGCCUAAUAAGUACACAAUCAUGUCCUAAAGUUAUGAAAUGUGUCAAUCAAGAUUGGCUUCUAGGACAUAUAUCCAAUAAUCUUCCACUUGCACUAAAAUCAAUCUACCAUAUACCAAGCCUUAUCUUCGCAAGACAGGCUAUAGUCUUAGGCUAGCCAAGUGACUUACUAGUGGAUCAUCCACAUCAC
rnacentral:lncRNA from 1 species